CAAGAUUAUAAGGUGUUAGGAGAUUAAGUAAAGGAAUUGAAGGUUUGUAAAAAGUUAUUCAGAGCUACAAUAAGUGUCCUGAUCCUUUUAAAGAGUGUUGGAACCUGUUAUAAGGGAAUCCAAUGCCACAAAACCAAGAUUAUAAGGUGUUAGGAGGUUAAAUAAGGGAAAUUGAGGUUUGUAAAAAUUUAUUCAGAGGUACAAUAAGUUUCCUGGUCCUUUUAAAGAGUGUUGGAACCUGUUAGAAGGGAAUCCAAUGCCACAAAACCAAGAUUAUAAGGUGUUAGGAGAGAAUUGAUUAUGUAUAUGAGUCUUCUUAUGUAUAAAUUGAUUCUUAAUAGUUUUGCAAAGGAAGAAUGUAUGAAAUAAUGAUGAUAAUAGUGAUGAUAAAAGAGUGAAUGAAGAGAAAGAGAGAGAGAGAGAGAGAGAGAUGUAAUAACCAAAACAAUGUGUGAUAAAGUGAGAGAAUAGAAGGAAAAAAAAACAGGAAGGAAGGAAAAUAAAAAAGAAUAAAGAAAAACAAGAAAAGGAAGAAGAAAAAAGUGAAGGAUAAAAUAAAAUAAAAGGGAAAGAAGAAAAAGAAGA